rnacentral:lncRNA from 10 species
UUGGAAGAAGUCAUGACUUCUGACAUGGGGGUGAUUUUCUCCCUACACUGUUGCAUUUGAUUCUUUUUAUGUAUUUUUAAGAAAGUAACCAGUUAUACUGCUUUUAAUAUUGAUUGGUCUUUUUAUUUGGCUUGGAGUUCUUCAAAGCAGUGAAGUGUGUUCAUAGUCCAGAUUUUUUUUUAGUAAACACAAUUUUGCUGCCAAAAAUAUAUAAAUAAAACACAAAAGGAAACAAAAAUAAAAAGUUUUGAAAAUGUUAGAUCAUCUCCCUUUUU